rfam:Macrostomum lignano uti_cns_0006956, whole genome shotgun sequence.
GGGGAUGUAGCUCAGAGGUAGAGCGUUCGCUUCGCAUGUGAAAGGUCUCGGGUUCGAACCCCGACUUCUCCA